GAUUCCCUUCGCCCGCUCCA
rnacentral:tRNA from 1 species